UGGACAUGUGGAGGCCGACAGGAAGGUGAAGAAGUCAUCUGCGUGCUGUGAGGGUGGCGCACCCCAACUCCAUGGGGACAGAAGGUCCUGCAUUUAGGACCCUUCCAGACCUCACACCUAUGUAUCUCUUCAUCUGGCUGAUUACUUAUAUCCUUUCAAAGACGCUUCUUAGUAAACUGGACCACCUGAUAGGGUACUGAGGAUGGCUUCUGACCUGGAGGCAUCAAGGACCUGAAGGCAGUAACCAUUUCAGAGGACAGCCACAUCCCUCAAAUUACAAACAUCUAAAAUGUCCAUUAACUGUUGAGUGGAUAUAUAAAUUCUGAUGUUUUAUAAAAUGGCAUACCCUACAUCAAUGAAGAUGAAUGAAUUACUUCUGCAUAAAACAAUAUACAUGCAUCUAACCAAUAUGACACUGAGUGAAAAAAGACAUCCAUAGAAGAGCACAGCUCACCAUUCAGGAGAGAAGAAAUUCAAAUGAAAAUGUUAUGAAAAUAUCCAAAGACUAAAAAUCCACUGCUAUCACUGAAUCUAGGAUGAAUGCUUUUUGGAGCUAUCAAUUUGUGAAAAUUGUAAGAUAACUUAUUUUAUUAAAGAUCAUUUUUAAAUCAAGGGUAAGGCUUUCUGUGGGGCCAAUUUCAUCAAUAAAAUUAGAAAAAAGUGAUGAGCAAAC
rnacentral:lncRNA from 1 species